rnacentral:rRNA from 1 species
UACGAAGGGGGCUAGCGUUGCUCGGAAUCACUGGGCGUAAAGCGCACGUAGGCGGAUCGUUAAGUCAGGGGUGAAAUCCUGGAGCUCAACUCCAGAACUGCCUUUGAUACUGGCGAUCUUGAGUUCGGGAGAGGUGAGUGGAACUGCGAGUGUAGAGGUGAAAUUCGUAGAUAUUCGCAAGAACACCAGUGGCGAAGGCGGCUCACUGGGCCCGAUACCGUGACGCU